rnacentral:lncRNA from 1 species
CAAUAUAUGAUUCAUAUUUUACAACUAAAUUUGCAAAUUCUAUUUAAUUUAACCUAAAUGCAUUAUUAUUAAGAUUAAUUAUUAAAAUAAAAAAUUAGCAAAAUUUAUUUUGAUUGAAUUUAACAACUUGAUUCAACAGUACAGUGAAACCCCUGUAAAAUGUGAUUUCACUUAACCAUGGUUAAUCACAGUAAAAAAAAAUUGCAUAAAAAAAUUUAGAAAUGCAGUUAACAUAAGUUCAUUUCAUCACAUUACAUAGGCAUUGUAUGAUAUUUGUAUUUUCUGUAUUCUCAAUUUUAUUUUUGUAGUUUGAUUAGUCUAAUAAAUGAUGAUGGAGAUGCCUAUGAGUACCAUCAUAGUUUUGGUUGCUCCCCUUCCUUUUUUCUAAUGUCUCAUUAGCAGAACUUCUUUUACCUUUCACUAACUCUUCUCACUUUUAUUUAUCUAUCAGCUAAACCUAUUAGAACAGCUGCUGUCCAAUUUGAACUUCAUCAUCACAUCAUCACAAGAGGAAGAAUGAAGAAGAGUGAAUCAGAACAGUAUUUUAGAAAGCAAGAGACCACAUUCACAUAACUUUAUAAUAAUAAUUAUUCCAUUUUAUUAUCAAUUAUUGUUGUUAAUGUUUUAUUGUGCCUAAUUUAUAAAUUAAACUUUAUCAUAGGCAUGUACAACAUAUAUAGUAUAUA